rnacentral:rRNA from 1 species
AAUGAACGUUGGCGGCGUGCCUAACACAUGCAAGUCGAGCGAGAAAGUCCUUCGGGAUGAGUACAGCGGCGGACGGUUGCGUAACACGUGAGUUAUCUGCCCUUCAGUGAAGAAUACCUUCGAGAAAUCGAAGUUAAUGCUGCAUACGUCCCUUCGGGGAGAAAGAUGGCUUCAUGCUGUCGUUGAAGGAUGAGCUUGCGGACUAUCAGCUAGUUGGUGAGGUAAAGGCUCACCAAGGCUAUGACGGUUAGCCGGCCUGAGAGGGUGUACGGCCAGACUGGAACUGAGACACGGUCCAGACUCCUACGGGAGGCAGCAGUGGGGAAUAUUGCGCAAUGGGCGAAAGCCUGACGCAGCGACGCCGCGUGGAGGAUGAAGGCCUUCGGGUUGUAAACUUCUGUUAAGCGAGAAAAAAGACCUUUUCCUAAUACGAAAAGGGGAUGAUUGUACCGCUAGAGAAAGCACCGGCUAAACUCGUGCCAGCAGCCGCCGUAAUAC